rnacentral:rRNA from 1 species
UACGUAGGGGGCGAGCGUUGUCCGAAGUUACUGGGCGUAAAGCGCGCGUAGGCGGCCCUUUAAGUCCGGCGUGAAAGGUUCAGGGCUCAACCCGAACAGUGCGCUGGAGACUGGAGAGCUUGAGGACGGGAGAGGGAAGCGGAAUUCCGGGUGUAGCGGUGAAAUGCGUAGAUAUCCGGAGGAACACCGAUGGCGAAGGCAGCUUCCUGGUCCGUAUCUGACGCUGAGGUGCGAAAGCGUGGGGAGCGAACGGG